rnacentral:rRNA from 1 species
UACGUAGGGUGCAAGCGUUGUCCGGAAUUAUUGGGCGUAAAGAGCUCGUAGGCGGUCUGUCGCGUCGGCUGUGAAAACCCGGAGCUCAACUCCGGGCCUGCAGUCGAUACGGGCAAACUGGAGUGUUGCAGGGGAGACUGGAAUUCCUGGUGUAGCGGUGAAAUGCGCAGAUAUCAGGAGGAACACCGAUGGCGAAGGCAGAUCUCUGGGCCGUAACUGACGCUGAGGAGCGAAAGCGUGGGGAGCGAACAGG